UACGAAGGGGGCUAGCGUUGCUCGGAAUCACUGGGCGUAAAGCGCACGUAGGCGGAUCGUUAAGUCGGGGGUGAAAUCCUGGAGCUCAACUCCAGAACUGCCUUCGAUACUGGCGAUCUUGGAGUCCGGGAGAGGUGAGUGGAACUCCGAGUGUAGAGGUGAAAUUCGUAGAUAUUCGGAAGAACACCAGUGGCGGAGGCGGCUCACUGGCCCGGUACUGACGCUGAGGUGCGAAAGCGUGGGGAGCAAACAGG
rnacentral:rRNA from 1 species